rnacentral:rRNA from 1 species
UACGGGGGGGGCAAGCGUUGUUCGGAAUUACUGGGCGUAAAGGGCUCGUAGGCGGCUUGUUAAGUCAGGGGUGAAAUCCUGGAGCUCAACUCCAGAACUGCCUUUGAUACUGGCGAGCUUGAGUCCGGGAGAGGUGAGUGGAACUGCGAGUGUAGAGGUGAAAUUCGUAGAUAUUCGCAAGAACACCAGUGGCGAAGGCGGCUCACUGGCCCGGUACUGACGCUGAGGUGCGAAAGCGUGGGGAGCAAACAGG